CAUCAUUUUGCCAAGCGUGCAAGGAUUUGAUUAGAAAGCGAGUAAGAGUGACUGGUACUUAUGCCGGUCCUUCUCGAUCUCAGAAGUAUAUAUAUCUUUAUCUAUAUAUACAUAUAUAUAUGUUCAUGCUUCCUCUUCAUCAUCUGUAAGGUCAUCGCGGUUUGUAAAAUGCAAUCAGUCUAUUUCAUAAUGUGAAGAACCAGCCAUGCUGUUUGUGGCUGUGCGUGAAUUGAGCUUGGGUUGUAAACAUCUAUGCUCAUUAAGGUGCUGUUUCUUGUUAUAGGAUCAUUGUUGUGUGGUUAUGACACGCUAUACGCUCGUGUAUCUUUUGAUUUUGGUGUGUCAAUAUGUACCAGAAACAGUAUUUGGUAUAUUAAAAAUAGGGUGCUUGCUUUUUGUUCUGUGUUCCACUUUCCCCUUGAG
rnacentral:misc_RNA from 1 species